GCCACCACCUUCCUCCUUGGCGACGGCGAGGCGCCGCCGCCUCCCUCGUUCUCAGAUCCGAAGACCCACCCCUCUCUCGCUCCGAUUGACAGCAACAAAGCCGUCGUCGGAGCCCUAGCUCAACACCACCGACUUCACACUUCCUUGCUCCGAUUCCUGGCGACAGCAGCGAGGGCCGCCGCCGACCGCCGCGCCUGACCUCCAGCCCAGCCCUCUGCAACCCCAGCCCAGUCCGUCUCCCUCUAAUCUCAUCCCUCUGUUUCCGGCGAUCAGCAGCGGAAGCCGCCACUUCGCCGCCCCUUCACCGACUCACACACAUACCGCACAUACUCAACAGGACACACAUACACACCAAUCAAGCCUCGACACAGCAAGUUCGAAAAGUUAAAGCUUCAAGACUCUUCUUUCAUAAAGAUCUUUUCUUUUCCUUUUCAAUGAAUCAUGCUUUCAUUUAUAAGUAUAUGCACAGAUUAUGAAUAAAUAUGUAUUUUCGUAUAAAAGUUGUUUUAGAUGAAUUUCAGUGAAGGUAUGUAUGGCUGUGAUUCUUUGUUGGCUAGCUGUGAUUUGUGUGUGAAAGUAAUGGACGUGUCUCAUUCAAUAUUGUAAAAACAAGUCAUG
rnacentral:lncRNA from 1 species